rnacentral:rRNA from 1 species
CCUACGGGAGGCAGCAGUGAGGAAUAUUGGUCAAUGGACGAGAGUCUGAACCAGCCAAGUAGCGUGAAGGAUGACUGCCCUAUGGGUUGUAAACUUCUUUUAUAUGGGAAUAAAAUGUUCCACGUGUGGGCUUUUGUAUGUACCAUAUGAAUAAGGAUCGGCUAACUCCGUGCCAGCAGCCGCGGUAAUACGGAGGAUCCGAGCGUUAUCCGGAUUUAUUGGGUUUAAAGGGAGCGUAGGUGGAUUGUUAAGUCAGUUGUGAAAGUUUGCGGCUCAACCGUAAAAUUGCAGUUGAAACUGGCAGUCUUGAGUACAGUAGAGGUGGGUGGAAUUCGUGGUGUAGCGGUGAAAUGCUUAGAUAUCACGAAGAACUCCGAUUGCGAAGGCAGCUCACUGGACUGCAACUGACACUGAGGCUCGAAAGUGUGGGUAUCAAACAGGAUUAGAUACCCUUGUAGUC